CCACCUAUGUCACAGAAGAGAUGAUCCCAUUAUAGGAGCUAAUUGAAGUUGGCCAUGAGGGAGGAGAACAACUAGUGACAAGGGAGCUAGGAGACCCCACCCUGGACGACACUCCUUUGUGUUACAAACAUCUGUCACGUGAGCAUGAUGAAUGGAAGAUGGCACAGCCCUAGCAGUCAGAAGGUCCAGAUCCAAAUGCUACCCACUCGGUCGUCUUGGUGAGAAAGCAAGAGGGAAGCAAGGUCUGAGGAGAGCAGCAGGGGCCACACCAAGUGAGGCCCUCAGCAGGGUCAGAAAGAGCUCGUGCAAGCUGAGUCAGUCCUGUGUUUUUUCCUGUGAAAUGAUUCACAUGCCGAGGAAAAUCAGUUGCAAUGUGCAAACUCUUCUUUGCCUUUCAUGAGCUUCCGAAUGAGGUGGUGAUUUUUGUUUUUGUUUUUCCCAUUUUGCUUGUCUCUCCUUGGAAACACGAUUGCAGUGUUUUCCAUUCCGGGUUGAGGCUUACCCCACCUCAUUUAAAUGCCCACAGGUGAAAGUGUUAUAUCAAAGAAACUCUGGUCAUUUUAAAUGUUAUUCUUUAAGCUUCCUUGUAUUUUUUACUCAAGUAGGUUAAAUUAUAAAUAAACUAAAUUGCAUAGCAUAUUUUAUGCAAUGAAGCCUGAACUCUUCAGAAAUCAAGCUCUAGAUAUGUGGAUUUUCUAUGUGUUGUAAAAGGUUCAUUAUAAACAUCUAAGACUGUUUUCAAUUGUUUUGAGUGGGAACUCCUAGAAUAUAUAAUGUAUAUGACAUGCUUCUUUAUAAUAAAAUUUAACCUUUCAU
rnacentral:lncRNA from 1 species